UUUUUGCCUUUCCCUCGAUAUUACCGUGAUUUGUACUUAAAAUAAACCAUUACCACCUGUUUCACUGCGACAUUCGAUCUUCCCAGCGAGACUAAAAUUCUCUCGAUCGGCUAAAAGUCUUCUAGUGGGGGCCAGUCUGAGUUGGCGCCUUCCAUCGUCCCCACCCCCCUCCUGAUCCAGUCCGAAAUAUAAACAUGUUUAUCUAGCCAAGUCCCACUUCGGCGAUUGGAAAGCAAGACGUUGGACAGUGCUAGUGUAAAACUUAUGGAAAAAAGUGGAAAAAUGGAAGAAGGAAGAUCUGCCAACCAACAACCUAAAACUUUUCUCAUCUGGUCUAUUCUUAACCUCCUAUGUUGCUGUUUUCCGUUGGGUCUCGCUGCUGUGAUUUGCUCCAUGAGGGUGGAGAAUGCAAACUCUGUGGGAGACGCAUCGCGAGCAAAGGAGGCGUCUCGAAUUGCCAGAGUCCUCAAUAUCACCGGCUGUGUUCUAGGAGCUUUGAUUGUUAUAAUCUCAAUUGCCUUGUAUAUUUUUGUCCUGUCAAAGGUGCACUAGCUGUUCACAAUAAGGCGUUUAUAUGCUCCAGAUGGCUUUACACUGCAGCAGCUUGGUUUAUAUCUUUAUUAUGUUACUCAUUUAAAAAUACGACAGCCUCAUAUUAUAUUAAAGUGAAGAAAGCUUUUAACUUGCAGCAAUGGACAUGCAAACAGAAGUAAGGUAUCACAGUUAAAAAAAAAAAGACAACUGCCAGUCCCAGCCAUCCUUUCUAAAGAAGCAGGCCAGUAUAUUUUUUAUGGCACUUCACUGGGACUUAAAUGGAAUGAACAAAGUGAGAAAACAUAGAAGACAGGAAGACAGAACAAUGGAAAACUAAACCCGAAUGUAAAGCUGUCAAAAUUGUCACUGACUUUGGAUUUCGUAACAAAUGUGUAUUUCUCAUAAUUGAGUGUGCAUAACAAUUGGAAAUUUGAUCCAAUUUAAGUCAAAUAAAUACAGAUUUGUCAGUAUAGACAUUUUUAGGUGACUAAUGGCCGGCAUGAAGCUUUCCAUGGACAAGGACAAAAUACACCCUACUUUUCUUUAGUCUAGAAGUUAAAAAGUAGGUUACAGCCUCUGUAUUUAUACACUUUUUCACCACUGAGAUUAAAGUGAGGCAUUUUACACAAUAUUUACUCACACUGAAUUGUAGUUAAAUUAAUGAAGUUUCCCAGUUAAGUUAAUUAAGUACUUGUAAACAGCAUUUUUGAUAUAUUUUGCUUUAUCACUAAUAUUUUUAACGUUUUUCUAACCAUUAUUGACAUUAUUUCUUUAAAAUGUUACCCUGUGACAACAUCUUCUUACAGUUUACUACGAAAUAUAACAAAACAUAGUGAUGUAUGUGUGCUACUGAUAAGAGGAAAUGUAGUGCUAAUUAUUUUUUAUGGUGGCUCUUGAAAAUCUGACAUUUGAUGCACCAAUCUGUUAGACUGAGGAGAGUUUAUAACCAUAAUCAUAACUGUUGUGUUAUUUCCAGUUCAUAGAAACUGUAUUUUACCUGUAUGCUUUGUGUCUUGUGGAUGUUCAUUCUGUGUCAAAACAAAAUACAUCUCUUCUAUUUAGUUUAUUAUUUAGGAGCCUUUGAAAACUUCCUGAAGUAAAGAACGUUUUGAUAUGGUUUCUGUUGCCUUUUGUGUGAUUUAAAUAUUCUGUACAAUGUCAUAGUUUUUUCUUAUCUGUCUAUUGUGCCUAUUUAGUGCCAACUUGUACUGUUUUUAUUUGCAUUGUGUGAAUCAAUAAAUCAUUCUGUACAUGUAAAA